UUGCUUUGGCUGCAAAUACAUUAAAUUUGGAAGCAUACAAAGAUUAGCAUGGCUCCUGCAUGAGGAUGAUAUACAAAUUCAUGAAGCAUUCCGUAGGUUU
rnacentral:snRNA from 1 species